AUUGAACGCUGGCGGCAUGCUUUACACAUGCAAGUCGAACGGCAGCGCGGGCUUCGGCCUGGCGGCGAGUGGCGAACGGGUGUGUAAUGCAUCGGAACGUGCCCAGUAGUGGGGGAUAGCCCGGCGAAAGCCGGAUUAAUACCGCAUACGACCUGAGGGUGAAAGCGGGGGUCCGAAAGGCCUCGCGCUAUUGGAGCGGCCGAUGUCGGAUUAGCUAGUUGGUGGGGUAAAGGCUUACCAAGGCGACGAUCCGUAGCUGGUCUGAGAGGACGACCAGCCACACUGGGACUGAGACACGGCCCAGACUCCUACGGGAGGCAGCAGUGGGGAAUUUUGGACAAUGGGGGCAACCCUGAUCCAGCCAUGCCGCGGGCGGGAAGAAGGCCUUCGGGUUGUAAACCGCUUUUGUUCGGGAAGAAAUCCUCUGGGCUAAUACCCCGGGGGGAUGACGGUACCGGAAGAAUAAGCACCGGCUAACUACGUG
rnacentral:rRNA from 1 species